ensembl:lncRNA HAGLR HOXD antisense growth-associated long non-coding RNA
AAUGGGAGCGUGACGCGCGGCCGGUGGAGACUGCUCUUCGCCCACCUCCAGGACAGAUAAAGUUAUUCCUCUUCCCCUCUUCUGAGUCCUCUGCGCUUUCGGUUUGCUUGGCGCUGAUGUUAUCCCUCUUCUAAACCUAGAGCAGAUGUUUGGUUUUUUCCUUUCUUCCCCCUUUCCUAGGACUCAUGGAACUACAUCUUAUGCUGGUGUUCUUAAAAUACACCGGAAAGAACGGAGGUAAAAAUACUGGAGUGUUUCCUCCACACUGGAAAGAGAUCUGGGGACCCUUCACCUGCCUCUACUACUGCAAAUGAUUGGAUAUUCGUCUGACUUGGCUCUUCCCUAAUGUGUGGAACUAAUUUUGUUCACUCUGUUUCAUGCUGGACCUGGCCUGAAAAUGGGCCCUUAUAUUGUCUUUGCACUUUCCAACUUGCCAAGUUUCUGAAAGAAGGACCAAAGUAAUGCCAAGAACUCCCAGAUGAAGAGGACCUUCCUUAGACCUAUAACAGAUUCACUACUUGACUUCAGAGGGAAGUUUCAGCUAAUUCUCAGGAAAAGGUCAAAACAGGCCUGUGACUGUCCCUUGAAUACUGAAGGUAUAAACAAGCUUCUGGCUCCUCCAGGUCAAGCAGAGGAACACUUUUAUUAGAAUGAAGGGUUACUUCUUUGUUAUUCAAACACACACCCACACACAUCCUCUGUAGUCUCCCUAAUGAAAAACCUCAACAGAUGGAGAGCCUGAGCUCCCAAGUCCGCAGGCUGAGAAGAUGCACUUCACUCAAGGGCCAGUGGGCUGGUACAGACUAGGGAAGAGAAAAGGGACAAAGGCUGCUAGUAUAGGUAAUCACUAUCUUUUAAUACUCCUAACACAUAGAAAUUCGAAAAAUCUUGUUCAGCAAUGUUAGCAGCCUGUGAGCCUCGGAAACUAAUUUGGCUGAUGUGUCU